UACAGAGGGUGCGAGCGUUGUUCGGAAUUACUGGGCGUAAAGCGCGCGCAGGCGGCUUUUUAAGUCUGACGGUGAAAUGCCGGGGCUCAACCCCGUGCCCGCCGCGGAUACUGGGAAGCUGGAGACAUGUAGAGGCAAGCGGAAUUCCGGGUGUAGCGGUGGAAUGCGUAGAGAUCCGGAAGAACACCGGAGGCGAAGGCGGCUUGCUGGGCAUGUUCUGACGCUGAGGCGCGAAAGCGUGGGAGCGAACAGG
rnacentral:rRNA from 1 species